UACGAAGGUGGCAAGCGUUGCUCGGAAUCACUGGGCGUAAAGGGCGCGUAGGCGGGGAGGUAAGUCGGGUGUGAAAUCCCUCGGCCCAACCGAGGAACUGCGCCCGAGACUGCUUCUCUUGAGUCCCGGAGAGGAAGAUGGAAUUCCCGGUGUAGCGGUGAAAUGUGUAGAGAUCGGGAGGAACACCGGUGGCGAAGGCGGUCUUCUGGACGGUGACUGACGCUGAGGCGCGAAAGCGUGGGGAGCAAACGGG
rnacentral:rRNA from 1 species